CCCAUGAAUCAAAACGCGAGCGAAACAAUACACGCACAUGAGGGCUCCCGGCUGGCGGAGAAGGAGAGAAGCUGGAUCGAAAAACAGCCCGAACGGGCGCUGAUGUCGCCGCCGACGCCAUGGGAAGCGUCCUCCGCCUGGUCGGAGGGAGCUCGCCGACGAGGUGCGCAGGCGACGGGCCUCCUGGGCGAACACAGCGUCGGAAUCUCCAAUGCAGUCGCUUGGGGAUUCGUUUGUGGCACCGCGGUCGCUGUGUCUGGCGGUCUCCGCCUGGUCGGAGGGAGCUUGCCGACGAGGUGCGCAGGCGAGCCCUCCUGGGCGAACACGGCGCCGGAAUCUCCGACGCUGUCCCUUGGGGAUUUGUUUGCAGGCGUGCCGCAGACAUCGACCACUGCGUCCAGCCAGGCAGUCGCCCUUCCUCCCGUCCUCCGCUCCUGCCUCCCCGCGAUCUCGCCCAGCGGCCGUCGCCAUUUCGUGCAGAGGAAAGCAGAGGAGAGGUAGGAGUGCCACUGGCGACUCAGGUCAAAAGCUGGCGGCAUGGCAACCGAUCACGCCAAGAUUCGACUACCACGAGACGAUAGUGGCGGUGGAUCCACAGCACGCAAGUCAGAACAGCUUCAGGGGCUCCAAGACCCCGUCCCGGCCCAGCCAACCAUUUAAAAGUGAUAUGCUCAAUGGUGAGUUUUCCAGUUCUUGGUGCAGGUGUCUUGACUUCGUAGAUUUGUAAUCACCGUGGGGAGUACAUUUAGACUCUGCGCAGCAUGUCUUUUUGCUCAAAGGAUAAUUUCAUAUCUUUCCUUUUUCAAUUAUGUGCUAUAAUGUUUGGUGAGGUCAUCUUAGUAUAGUCAGGCGCAUCCGGUUGGUCACCGUUGCAUCCAUAUAUACAUUGUGCGGAAGACAUCGCCUAUGGCUUCUGUCCAAGAUAGAUCAACCAGUAUGCUCCAGCUCCCUGGUCCCUUGUGGUGAGAGCUAGGUAUGCUAUCUCUUUCUGAUCACAAUUAUCUUAUCCGUGAGUAAAAGACAACUUUGGUUUAUUGGGAAAUUAAUGGACGGAGUUUCCCUGCAAAGUAGCAUUCAAUUUUUUCACCAAUCAGUGUGACACUCCAUGCAAUUGUUGAUGGGUGAAUUACAAUGGAUAAAACUGCCCUUUAUCAACGUUGGCUACUUAUUUGUUAAGAGCUCUAUAUAUACUAUCGAUGUCUGAAGUUGUGUUGAUCAAAUUAGCCAAGUCAUAUGCUUGAAUAAACUAGUAUAUGUGCACGUGCGCUGCACGUCCGCAAAAAAUGAGAUGAAUAGGCCCUAGUCCAGGACAUAUUAUACAAAAUCACGGUCAAAUAUACUUUAUGUUAUAUUUUACAUAUAACUCAAAAACAAAUUUCAAUAGACCAUAUAUAGGCCCUGGCAUCAGAAAGUUUGCUAAUCGACUCAAUUUUGAGUUCUAGAAAUAAAGAAAGUUGAGAUAGACAGUCUUAAAAAGAAAGUAGAGCUAGGAAGCUCUGUUGAGCACCCACCUUAGAAAUACCUCAGUGUUAUGCAAGCCUUUCCAGGCAGUCAAGAAAUUCUAUUUUUGUUCUAGCAUAGUGCAUAUCAGCUUGACAUCUCAAGGUUCAUCUCAAAGGAUAAAAAAAAAGCCAUAGAUACCAGAGACCGUGUAUCCACUCAUACAAAGAGCAAGCACCUUCAGCUAUAGAAAGCUUGGCACACUGCACAUGUCAGAUCACAUUAUGAUUAAAAAUGCUGUCAUAUGCCGCCAUGCCUCUAAGCAACUGAAGUGCAGCAUUGGACAUGUACAUAAUCAUGCCUUCAAACAAAAGGUAGAUAAUAUGGUUGAGUGGAAGUUUCUGUUCGUUUCAAGGCACACGAUAACAUCGACUUUGUCAAAGAAAAGAUAAACCCAUGCUUUAACUAAACUAAACCAAAAUCAUUCUUAUGAUCAGUGUAAAGAGCAUUCAGUGGCAAGAGAAAAUGUGGCAUCUUCUGAAGUACGCACCAAGCUGCAACCUUGACAUGGAUGCCAUAAUCUUUGAUGGCUAGGCCGAGUUAUCGAUGUAGAUAUCCAAACUGAAGCAAGCUUAAGCAAAAUCAUGAUUCAUAGCAUUAAGCAAACAAUAUGUUGAAUUGUUUGCCUUAAGAUUACCUUACUGGAUUACACAGGGACAUUUGUAAUAUAUUUUUAAUGAGUUUGGGCUUCCAAAAUAAUAGUGGAAUAGGCACAUCAACACAUAUAUGCGAAGAAAUAUGUGUGCAUGACGUGUCAAGGUGAUUGAUUGUUUCAAAUUUAUCAAUAGUGGUUUUUUGUAUCAACAAAUCACUGAUUUUUAUUCUUCAUGGCAUAAAAACGUAAUUUUGUCGAGAUUAUUUAUUUAUUUUUUACUGGUGAAAUUCUCAGUGGCCUAAAAGUAUUAAGUAAACAAAAACUAAGAGGUGUAUUGUGGCAGCUAGGUGCUCGAAAAUAGCAGGAACCCCAAAAAUAAAGUGUGUUCUAUUUUUUAUUUUAUUUUUGUAAUCGUAACUUAAUAAAUUGUUGUACCGUAGCAACGCACGGGUAUAAUGCUAGUAGCAUUAAGAAAACAAUAUGUUGAAUUAUUUUCCUUAAGAUGACUUUACUGGAUUACACAGGGACAUUUGCAAUAUAUUUUAAUGAGUCUGUGCUUCCAAAAUAAUGGAUCUCAUUACUUAGUUAUUUGCAUUUAUAUGAUGAGCAUAUAGAAUUGGAUACAAUCAGUUUAUAUCUUCUCUUUGUAUACAUAUGAAGAGAUCACAAAAGUAUUUAUAUAGUUUGCUCGGAACAGCAGACCACCAGAUUAAAGAUUGUGUAAUUUUUUUAGGGAAAGUAUUGUGUGCCCAAGACUCAUGAAUAAGAGCAAAUAAGCUGAUAUUUGGACCAGAUUGGUGAUGCAGAGUCAUACAUGGCGGGGAGGUUGAACAUUCAGAGUUUCCGAACACACAUCUAUAUGAGAAGUUUGAACAACGUGAUAGGUUAUUAGAUAUAGAAAUAAACACAGAUUUAAGAGCAUACAAAUUGAUUCUCUGACAAAAAAUAUAUCCUCUAACACGGAAAUUUGGAGACAUAUAACAGACUGAAACAAUUUUUUUUAACACCCUUCAGAUUACGGAACUGCAGUUUUUAAUCUAUAAUCUCCUCAAUAAUAGAAUACUUCCAGCAUUCUUAUCUAUGUAAUAUUCCAUUUCUCACCAGUGAGCAUAAUAUGUAAAUUUCCCGGCUGAGAAUAACAUGUGCACAGAUCAAAAUAGCAUGUUCAUGUGCUCUAAUGGAAAGAAAAUACAUGAAGUGUUAAAUGGCUGACAUGUAGGGUAUAGGGAACGAACUAACAACAUACGAAAGCAUGGCCAUUCCACUUAGCCAUCCGAUUCUGGUAUGCAACCUCACAACCACACACCAAUCUCCUGCCUUCUGUUGGUGUAUCACUUCAAAGCAGUUUGGACAAAACCACAAACACCUUGUGUGCAAAAACACCUAACCUCCACAAGGGACAGCAAAUGCCCAACUUUGUAAUGUGUUGAGGAAAUGAGGAGAGAUAGGUGUUAGCAGGAAGCAUCAUGUUGCACGGUUCUCUCAUGUGAGAAAACAUGAAGCGAAUUGGAACCACACAAGAAAAAUUCAUACAAAGAGGGAAAUACACACAGGGCUCACCCAUGCCCCGUAGGCUGGGGCACUUCCGCUCCCUCCGAGCUUAGAUCACACAGGCUGGAAGGAAUCGAUAGUAAGGAGAUCGUGUAGAUAUCAGGUGGAGCCGUGGAGGAGUCCGUGAGGUGCGGAGUGGAGUGGACAGAGACGCUGGUCUAUGGUGCCAGACUGCCAGGAAGUGUUCCGUGCUGGGCUAGAUUCAAUUUUGUUGACCGGCAGAGCAUGUCACCUGAGGAACUAUCGCGAAGGUGCGAGCAGAUACGUGCAGAGGUGAAACAGACAUGGCGAAUCCAGGAAAAAACAGCCGUCGGAUCUGGCUGGUUAGCAUUAGAUGGAGGGCGGAUAUGAAUGCAAGAGGACAAAUCAACGGCUGUAACUGAUUUAGUAUCGCUCUGGCAAGAACAGAGGUGGUAAAUCCAAAUUCAAAACUGCUACACUAUAGUAGUAGAGAUUUAUAUUCGACAUGCUAAUCCUUUGCUCAUAUGCUACAUAGAGUAAUAUUAUUAGCAGAAUUUAUCACCUUCAUAUAGAUGCAAGUUAAAGUAUUUUUACUUUGUUGCAUAAAAGAUGCAUUCAGAGUUUUACCCAUUAUUUUUUUAGAGAGCAUUUUUGUUGGUCUGCCUUUCGAUGGGAUGUUUCAGUUUCCCUGCUGUUCCUUAUUUUAGAAGUUAGCUGAUGGUAGUCUACGCCAGGUAUGUUCAAUUUGUGUGUCCCCUGUUUCAGGUUUGUGUACUUAUUUGUGUGUUCUUUGAUUUAUUUGUGCAUAAUAUAUGCAUCGCCAUCUAUUAGUGUGGUUUUAUGAGUAAUGUUUAAAGUCUAAUUCUGUUCCUAUUUCAUGAACAAAAUUCGUACUGUCAUCUUCAAGUGGUACUGAGCUUCGAUUUAGUAAAGCUGCAAUUAAGCAAUUUAACAAGUUUACCUUCAUAUCUCUCCUGUAACCGUACAACCAGACCAAUUUAAAUACUGCUCCUUUUGACUUCUUUUUCACCGUUCUAUUUUUUUUUCAUUUGGAUCUAAAAUAAUGCUUAUUAUUAUUUUUGUUACAAAAUUGGCUGAACCAUAGAUACAUCCAUUUUCAUAUGGUACUGAUACGAUUGUACUGCAAGUCUGCAUAUUCAUGAGGCAUAGGUUGAGAAUUCAGACGUCAGUGAUGUAUCAUGCAUGUUUUUCAUAUUCAAAUCGUUUAAACUUUUCAUCUCCAGGACCACUCUGCAGCUAAAAGGUGUUGUAAUGGCAUUAUUUUGGAUGCAUGUGCCAUUUGCCAUGAUGUUUUUCUUCGUGCUUAGGAUUCUUUUAAUUCUCUUACAGUGGGACUCAUGUCCUACUCAUGUCCUACCUUUUUUUGUGUCAGAUCACAACUUAUAUUUUACUGAUUAGUAAUUCAGCACUUACUAAUGCUUUUACAGUGUGGCUUUCCUCACAGUUGAAAAUCAUGUUGCCGGAGAAGCAUUGAGGGACCUUGGAUGCUGAGGUAUAUAAGGUGCUCUGCUUGGUUAGGAAUUUUCAACAUCGUGAUGGUAGUAUUCGAAGAAUUGGUGUUUGGUUGCACCUACUUAUAUCAUGUAGCAGUUGUAGCUUGCCUGCAUGAGUUUUUUGUACUGGAAAGUCCAAAAUCACUGAGUGUUUCGGCUUGCUCCUACGUUGGCAGUAAUAUUGUACAUCCUCUAAUUGAUGUGGAAGUAUUAUAUGUGUUUUCCCUUUGAACUACUGCUGAUUUGUGUAACUUCUAUGUUUCAAGUUUUUUUUUUCUCUUUUUGAGAUAAUAUCAUCUUCUAUUUUUCA